rnacentral:rRNA from 1 species
GACGAACGCUGGCGGCGUGCUUAACACAUGCAAGUCGAACGGAAAGGCCCUGCUUUUGUGGGGUGCUCGAGUGGCGAACGGGUGAGUAACACGUGAGUAACCUGCCCUUGACUUUGGGAUAACUUCAGGAAACUGGGGCUAAUACCGGAUAGGAGCUCCUGCUGCAUGGUGGGGGUUGGAAAGUUUCGGCGGUUGGGGAUGGACUCGCGGCUUAUCAGCUUGUUGGUGGGGUAGUGGCUUACCAAGGCUUUGACGGGUAGCCGGCCUGAGAGGGUGACCGGCCACAUUGGGACUGAGAUACGGCCCAGACUCCUACGGGAGGCAGCAGUGGGGAAUAUUGCACAAUGGGCGGAAGCCUGAUGCAGCAACGCCGCGUGCGGGAUGACGGCCUUCGGGUUGUAAACCGCUUUCGCCUGUGACGAAGCGUGAGUGACGGUAAUGGGUAAAGAAGCACCGGCUAACUACGUGCCAGCAGCCGCGGUGAUACGUAGGGUGCGAGCGUUGUCCGGAUUUAUUGGGCGUAAAGGGCUCGUAGGUGGUUGAUCGCGUCGGAAGUGUAAUCUUGGGGCUUAACCCUGAGCGUGCUUUCGAUACGGGUUGACUUGAGGAAGAUAGGGGAGAAUGGAAUUCCUGGUGGAGCGGUGGAAUGCGCAGAUAUCAGGAGGAACACCAGUGGCGAAGGCGGUUCUCUGGGCCUUUCCUGACGCUGAGGAGCGAAAGCGUGGGGAGCGAACAGGCUUAGAUACCCUGGUAGUCCACGCUGUAAACGGUGGGUACUAGGUGUGGGGUCCAUUCCACGGGUUCCGUGCCGUAGCUAACGCUUUAAGUACCCCGCCUGGGGAGUACGGCCGCAAGGCUAAAACUCAAAGGAAUUGACGGGGCCCCGCACAAGCGGCGGAGCAUGCGGAUUAAUUCGAUGCAACGCGUAGAACCUUACCUGGGUUUGACAUGGAUCGGGAGUGCUCAGAGAUGGGUGUGCCUCUUUUGGGGUCGGUUCACAGGUGGUGCAUGGCUGUCGUCAGCUCGUGUCGUGAGAUGUUGGGUUAAGUCCCGCAACGAGCGCAACCCUUGUUCACUGUUGCCAGCACGUUAUGGUGGGGACUCAGUGGAGACCGCCGGGGUCAACUCGGAGGAAGGUGGGGAUGACGUCAAGUCAUCAUGCCCCUUAUGUCCAGGGCUUCACGCAUGCUACAAUGGCCGGUACAGAGAGUGGCGAGCCUGUGAGGGUGAGCGAAUCUCGGAAAGCCGGUCUCAGUUCGGAUUGGGGUCUGCAACUCGACCUCAUGAAGUCGGAGUCGCUAGUAAUCGCAGAUCAGCAACGCUGCGGUGAAUACGUUCCCGGG